UAGACUUCGUCAAGAGCAACACCUUUCCCUG
rnacentral:piRNA from 1 species